CCAAUAGCGUAUAUUAAAGUUGUUGCAGUUAAAAAGCUCGUAGUUGAAUUUCGAGACCGGUUUAUUGGUCGUGCUUUUGUACGUACUGGUAUUAUUGGUUUCUCCUUUCUGACGAAUCUUAAUGCCAUUAAUUUGGUGUUUUGGGGAAUCAGGACUGUUACUUUGAAAAAAUUAGAGUGUUUAAAGCAGGCUCACGCUUGAAUACAUUAGCAUGGAAUAACGGAAUAGGACGUUUGAUUCUAUUUUGUUGGUUUCUAGGAUCGACGUAAUGAUUAAUAGGGAUAGUUGGGGGCAUUAGUAUUCAAUUGUCAGAGGUGAAAUUCUUGGAUUUAUUGAAGACUAACUACUGCGAAAGCAUUUGCCAAGGAUGUUUUCAUUAAUCAAGAACGAAAGUUAGGGGAUCGAAGACGAUCAGAUACCGCCGUAGUCUUAACCAUAAACUAUGCCGACUAGGGAUCGGAUGAUGUUAAUUUUUUAAUGACUCAUUCGGCGCCUUACG
rnacentral:rRNA from 1 species